rnacentral:lncRNA from 1 species
UGGCGCAAACCCUGUUGAACUAACCUGAGCUAGCUACUUGGGGGCUCGCGCGGCGGCCACGGCAAGGCAUGAACACCGGCGACCACGGCAAGCGGCGGAGGGCUAACUACCGCGGAUAAACGGCGACGCGCAGAAACAAUCUAGGUGACACGACGGUCACCACACAACCCUUAGCGAGGAGGCGGCGCGGCUGAGCACAGAAGCUCGCCGGCGGCAAGCCGAAGCGUGCGGGCAGUGCUACGACGCUACGGUGCGCGAAAGAAGGCGCGGAAAAAGGCGAGAGAGAGAGGAGCUCACCCCGGUGACGUGAGAGGAAGCUGACGAGGUUUGCACGGACGUGCUCGCUAGAAUUUCGUCGGAGACGGGCGGCGGCCGGAGAGGAAGAAGUCGUCCUAGGCGUCGAUGUAGGCGAUCUCGCUCCGAUUCCUUGCACCCACGCGUAGAGGAAGAAGAGGCGCACUCGGUGACGCGGUCGGGGCGUCGUGGUUAGGCCAGGGGCGGCGGCGCGACACAGUGGCGUCCACGGCCCGGGAAGACGGCGACGGCGGCGGUGCAGAAGGAGGGAGAGGAAACCCUGGCUAGGGUUUGCCGUGCGCUGCGGAAGGGAGGAAGCACGGCGCAGCUGAAGUAGGCGAGGAGGAGGUGGCUGUCGUUGUUGCCGCGGACGUGGCGCGCGAGGGCUCCACCGGUCGGGAGGACGAAAAGCAGAGGAGGAAGAUGACGCUGUGAGAGGUGGUGCGUUUUGGUGAUUACGUCUUCGCAGCGGGGAAGCGUAACGUGGGGCGGCGCGCGAGGCUGCGGGGCCGAGCUGGGCUGCGGGCGCGGCGGGAGAAGGUGGGCUGCGGCGGGCGCGCGGGAGAAGGGCCGAGGCGGCUGGGCCGGCUCGGGCCAAAAGGUAAGCAGGUGAGGUUUUUAUUUUUUUUUCUUUUUUCUUUUUCCUUUUCUGUUUUCUGUUUUGCAAAUAACUUUGGAUUCAAAAUUCAAACACCAAUUUUGAAGAGGUGAGGAAUAGGAGAGUUUAAAUAUAGUGCUAGUAUUUGAAAAUGUUCAAAUGGAUGUAAAGAUUGAAAAUCCAUUUGACUCUCUUUUACAAAUUAUGGAAAAGGAAUUCAAACUCCAAGAAGGAAAAAUUCAUAUUUGAAUCUUCUAGCAAAUUCAAACAACAAGAAUUCAAACCACAAGUUGAGAUGCAAUUUAAAACUCAUGUGACACAAAUAAAUAGACAUGGCAUGGCAUGAAUGCAAUGUAAAAUGUUAUGCAACAAGAA